GAUCCUGGCUCAGGAUGAACGCUAGCUACAGGCUUAACACAUGCAAGUCGAGGGGCAGCAUGAACUUAGCUUGCUAAGUUUGAUGGCGACCGGCGCACGGGUGAGUAACACGUAUCCAACCUUCCGUUUACUCAGGGAUAGCCUUUCGAAAGAAAGAUUAAUACCUGAUAGUAUGGUGAGAUUGUAUGAUAGCACCAUUAAAGAUUUAUUGGUAAACGAUGGGGAUGCGUUCCAUUAGG
rnacentral:rRNA from 1 species